CGUAGGGUGCGAGCGUUAAUCGGAAUUACUGGGCGUAAAGCGUGCGCAGGCGGUUCGUUGUGUCGGUGGUGAAAGCCCCGGGCUUAACCUGGGAAUGGCCAUGGAAACUGGCGAACUGGAGUGUGGCAGAGGGGGGUGGAAUUCCGCGUGUAGCAGUGAAAUGCGUAGAGAUGCGGAGGAACACCGAUGGCGAAGGCAGCCCCCUGGGCUAGCACUGACGCUCAGGCACGAAAGCGUGGGGAGCAAACAGGAUUAGAUACCCUGGUAGUCCACGCCCUAAACCAUGUCAACUGGGUGUUCGGGAAGCGAUUUCUGAGUACCGUAGCUAACGCGUGAAGUUGACCGCCUGGGGAGUACGGCCGCAAGGUUA
rnacentral:rRNA from 1 species